UCUCUGGUAGCUUAAGUAAGAAGAGUGCAGCGCUGAAGGUGCUGUGGUAGAAAAUUAUUCUCUAGGGAA
rnacentral:tRNA from 1 species